rnacentral:rRNA from 1 species
AUACGUAGGUGACAAGCGUUAUCCGGAUUUACUGGGCGUAAAGGGCGUGUAGGCGGUCUUGCAAGUCAGAAGUGAAAUUCCUGAGCUCAACUCGGGCGCUGCUUCUGAAACUGCAGGACUUGAGUGCUGGAGGGGAUAGCGGAAUUCCUAGUGGAGCGGUAAAAUGCGCAGAUAUUAGGAAGAACACCGGUGGCGAAGGCGGCUAUCUGGACAGUAACUGACGCUGAGGCGCGAAAGCGUGGGGAGCAAACAGGAUUAGAUACCCUGGUAGUCCACACUGUAAACGAUGAAUGCUAGGUGUAGGGGGUAUCGACCCCUCUGUGCCGCAGUUAACACAAUAAGUAUUCCGCCUGGGGAGUACGGCCGCAAGGUUGAAACUCAAAUGAAUUGGCGGGG